AAGAAAGUGGCAGAGUGGUUAUGCGGUUGGCUUGAAACCAGCACAUGGGGGUUCAAUUCCUCCUUUUCUCG
rnacentral:tRNA from 1 species